rnacentral:rRNA from 1 species
UGGGGAGUAUUGGACAAUGGGCGAAAGCCCGAUCCAGCCAUGCCGCAUGAGUGAAGAAGGCCUUUGGGUUGUAAAGCUCUUUUAGUGAGGAAGAUAAUGACGGUACUCACAGAAGAAGUCCUGGCUAACUCCGUGCCAGCGGCCGCGGUAAUACGGAGAGGGCUAGCGUUAUUCGGAAUUAUUGGGCGUAAAGGGCGCGUAGGCUGGUUAGUAAGUUAAAAGUGAAAUCCCGAGGCUUAACCUUGGAACUGCUUUUAAAACUGCUAACCUAGAGAUUGAAAGAGGAUAGAGGAAUUCCUAGUGUAGAGGUGAAAUUCGUAAAUAUUAGGAGGAACACCAGUGGCGAAGGCGUCUAUCUGGUUCAAAUCUGACGCUGAGGCGCGAAGGCGUGGGGAGCAAACA